rnacentral:rRNA from 1 species
UACAGAGGUGGCAAGCGUUGUUCGGAAUUACUGGGCGUAAAGGGCGCGUAGGCGGCCAUCUAAGUCAGACGUGAAAUCCCCCCGGCUUAACCUGGGAACUGCGUCUGAUACUGGAAGGCUUGAGUAUGGGAGAGGGAUGUGGAAUUCCAGGUGUAGCGGUGAAAUGCGUAGAUAUCUGGAGGAACACCGGUGGCGAAGGCGACAUCCUGGACCGGUAUUGACGCUGAGGCGCGAAAGCCAGGGGAGCAAACGGG